rnacentral:rRNA from 1 species
GUCGAACGAAGAAGAGGAGCUUGCUCCUCGGACUUAGUGGCGAACGGGUGAGUAACGCGUGAGUAACCUGCCUUAAAGAGGGGGACAACAGUUGGAAACGACUGCUAAUACCGCAUAAGCCCACAGUGUGGCAUCACACAGAGGGAAAAGGAGCAAUCCGCUUUGAGAUGGACUCGCGUCUGAUUAGCUAGUUGGUGGGGUAAUGGCCUACCAAGGCGACGAUCAGUAGCCGGACUGAGAGGUUGAACGGCCACAUUGGGACUGAGACACGGCCCAGACUCCUACGGGAGGCAGCAGUGGGGGAUAUUGCACAAUGGGGGAAACCCUGAUGCAGCGACGCCGCGUGGAGGAAGAAGGUUUUCGGAUCGUAAACUCCUGAUAUAGAUGACGAUAAUGACGGUAGUCUAUAAGAAAGUGACGGCUAACUACGUGCCAGCAGCCGCGGUAAAACGUAGGUCACGAGCGUUGUCCGGAAUUACUGGGUGUAAAGGGAGCGCAGGCGGGAAGAUAAGUUGGAAGUGAAAUCUAUGGGCUCAACCCAUAAACUGCUUUCAAAACUAUUUUUCUUGAGUGGUGCAGAGGUAGGCGGAAUUCCCGGUGUAGCGGUGGAAUGCGUAGAUAUCGGGAGGAACACCAGUGGCGAAGGCGGCCUACUGGGCACUAACUGACGC